rnacentral:sRNA from 1 species
UUUUACUACAUCGAAAUAUGACUCUAGUGUUAUUUGUUUUUGGUAAAUUUGUAUUAAUUUUUUGUAGAGUUUAUUUCUAAUAUCUUUAGUACAAAAAAAGAUUGUAUUGUUUACUAAACUUAAUACUUGAUUUUCUACUUGUAAUUAGUUUUAAAAAAGAUAUAGAUUAUAAAAAGAAAAGAACAUCUUAAAUUUCAGGUACCUUAGCUGAUUCUUUUGAAAAACAUUAUUUUUAUAAGAGAAUGAUCAUUAUUCUAACUUACGUUUGUUGUUAGGAGAGAGUGUCUGAGCAUUUUGGAGUGCCAACUUACAGACUACGAUUUUACAAUUCCAAACCUCCAUCUUGUCUCGUUUUGCCCAAAAGACUAUAUGAUAAAGGUAAUAUUUUGGACCUUGUAACACAUAAUAGAUGUUGAAUAUUAAAGCCUCCAAUUAAUAAACUUUGAAUUUGUUUUUUAUAUCUAAGGACAAUCUUAACUUAAGCAUGUAUUUAUCCUAUCAUAUCACUAGAUUCACUACACAUAACACAUGACAUCUAAUGUUAUAAGUAGGAAAUCAACUACAUUAUUAUCAAUGGUUGAUUAUAAUUCUAUUAAUUGGCAAUAACUAAGUAGAAUGCGGAUAUCUCUUAUAUACUAAAUAAUGUUCUCUUGAAAGAGUGUGUAAUUGUUUCGCAAUGAACAAAAAUAUUCACACAAUAUCUACUCUAGUCUUCUCUGCUCCCAAAACGUUCUUCGCGGUGGCCGUCGGUAGAUAUCCUUCAUCAUGGACAGUGAUAAGAACAUGACAUGAGCUAUUGUCUUCUUUCUCGUUGUCGCCAUCUAGAACCGGCUUUACACAUCCCCUGUGGAGUAAUUGAUGUUGUCCUAUCUCCGCUGAUAGUUUUGAAUCCAAAGUCUCUUUGAAAUGUGCAAGACCAGAGAAUUCUUCCACAGCCUCGUAGAUCUUCUCGACGCAAUUCACGACCUCGAUCAGGAUUGAUGCCAUUGUGACUCCGGGAAUGAUCUCCAAAAGAUCUUUAUAUGUCUCUGGAUAAGAAGAUUUGAGUGCAAUCUUUAAGUUUUUAAUGGCCUUUUUGGAGUUGUCAAUGUGUGCGUUCACACAAGCACUAUCGUUCCUCAUUGUUUUAAUAGAUUUGGCUAUGGCUUUUAGGGCUUCACCAACUUCUCUGCUCAUAGUCGUGAUUGGCUCUUGAAUCUUACUUUCGAAUUCUUGUGGUGCCUGCUUAAGUAGCAAGUAAAAAAAAAAAAAGAAUUGAUUGGGUCAAACAAUUAGUAAUUUUUAUCUUUUUGCUUAACCCUUUAUUAUUUGUUAAUACUCUGUCCUUCAAUUAAAGA